AUUGAACGCUGGCGGCAGGCCUAACACAUGCAAGUCGAGCGGAGCGGCGGACGGGUGAGUAAUGCCUAGGCAUCUGCCUGGUAGUUGGGGAUAACGUCCGGAAACGGGCACUAAUACCGCAUACUAUCAGAUGAGCCUAUGUCGGGUUCUCUAGUUGGGGGGGUAAGGGACUACCAAGGCGACGAUCCGUAACUGGUCUGAGAGGAUGAUCAGUCACACUGGAACUGAGACACGGGCCAGACUCCUACGUGAGGCAGCAGUGGGGAAUAUUGGACAAUGGGCGAAAGCCUUAUCCAGCCAUGCCGCGUGUGUGAAGAAGGUCUUCGGAUUGUAAAGCACUGUAAGUUGGGAGGCGUUACCUACAGAAUAAGCACCGGCUAACUUCGUGCCAGCAGCCGCGGUAAUAC
rnacentral:rRNA from 1 species